CGUUCCGCCCAGCUCUGUGCCCGCAGUAAACAGACGAGAUAAUGAAUCUAUAAAAGUGACUCAGGCUGGCCGGGCGCGGGGCUCACGCCUGUAGUCCCAGCACUUUGAGAGGCGAAGGCCCGCGGAUCACGAGGAAAGGUGAUGAAUAAAAUACCAAGAGAAACUAACCCCAGGACGGCAGGAAGAGUUCGGGAUUCACCCCUAGUGAAACUGAAAAUUAUUUAAAACAACAAACAACCAUUGACCAUUUAAAGCCUCUGAAAUGGUCCUAAGGGCAAACAGCAAAUGAAGAAACAUCUGCUUUAAAAAAUCUGUGAAAACUCUUGCAUCAGAAUGCCAGAGUCUAUGGUAUUUAAACCAAACCUCUCCCUUUGUUCAACAAGACAGACUCCACUCCAGACUGCUGCAACCAAGAACCUCUCUCUUCCCAAGAUGAAGUCUCACUGUGUCAUCCAAGCUGGAGUACAGUGGGAUGAUCAUAACUCACUGCAGCCUCAAACUUCUGGCCUCAAGCAAUCCUCCUGCCUUUGUCUUCUGAGUACCUGGGACUACAGGGAUGUAUAACCAUGUUUGGCUAAUAUUUUUAAUUCUUGUAGAGAAAGAUCUUUGUUGACUAAUCUAGCAAAUAAAUUUUAAAAAUAAUUUCUGUUGCACCAGAAGGCUAGGCUAUAAUAUCCAUUCAUAGGCAAACAUUUUUGAGCUCCUACUAUGUGCCAGGUACUAUAUAAAGAAAUAGAGGCCAGGCAUGGUGGCUUAUGCCUAUAAUCCCAGCACUUUGGGAGGCCAAGGUGGGCGGAUCACUUCAGGUCAGGAAUUUAAGACCAGCCUGGCCAAUAUGGUGAAACCAUCUACUAAAACUACAAAAAUUAGCCGGGCAUGGUGGUGCAUGCCGGUAUUCCCAGCUACUCCAGAGGUAGAGGCAGAGGCAGGAGAACCACUUGAACCCUGGAGGUGGAGGUUGCAUUUAGCUGAGAUUGCGUGCCACUGCACUCUAGCCUGAGAGACAGGCUCAAAAAGAAAGAAAGAAAGAAAGAGAACCAAACACUGCAUGUUCUCACUCAUAAGUGAGUGUUGAACAAUGAGAACACAGGGACACAGGGAGGGGAAUGUCACACACUGGGGCCUGGAGCAUAGGGGCUAG